GACGAACGCUGGCGGCGUGCUUAACACAUGCAAGUCGAACGGAAAGGCCCUGCUUUUGUUGGGUUCUCGAUUGGCGAACGGGUGAGUAACACGUGUGUAACCUGCCCUUGUCUUUGUGGGAACUUCUGGAAACUGGGGCUAAUACCCGAUAUGAGAUCCUGCUCCAUGGUGGGGUUUGGAAAGUUCCGGCUGUUGUGUAUGGACUCGAUGCUUACCAGCUUGUUGGUGUGGUAGUUGCUUCCCAAGCCUUUGCAGGGUAGCCGGCCUGAGAGGGUGACCGGCCACCUUGGGACUGAGAUACGGCACAGAAUCGUACGGGACGCAACGGUGGGGAACAUUGCACAAUGGGCGGACGCCUGAUACAGAAGCGCCGCGUGCGGAAUGACCGCUUUCGGGGUGAAAACAGCUUUCGCCUGUGACAAAGAGUGAGUGACGGUAAUGGGUAAAGAAGCAACGGCUAACUACGUG
rnacentral:rRNA from 1 species